AUUGAACGCUGGCGGAAUGCUUUACACAUGCAAGUCGAGCGGCAGCGCGGCCUUCGGGCUGGCGGCGAGCGGCGAACGGGUGAGUAAUGCAUCGGAACAUGCCCAGUCGUGGGGGAUAACACUUCGAAAGAAGUGCUAAUACCGCAUACGUCCUGAGGGGGAAAGCGGGGGAUCGCAAGACCUCGCGCGAUUGGAGUGGCCGAUGUCAGAUUAGCUAGUUGGUGGGGUAAAGGCCCACCAAGGCGACGAUCUGUAGCUGGUCUGAGAGGAUGAUCAGCCACACUGGGACUGAGACACGGCCCAGACUCCUACGGGAGGCAGCAGUGGGGAAUUUUGGACAAUGGGGGCAACCCUGAUCCAGCCAUUCCGCGUGAGUGAAGAAGGCCUUCGGGUUGUAAAGCUCUUUCGGCAGGAACGAAACGGUGGGCUCUAACAUAGUCCGCUAAUGACGGUACCUGAAGAAGAAGCACCGGCUAACUACGUG
rnacentral:rRNA from 1 species